GACGAACGCUGGCGGCGUGCUUAACACAUGCAAGUCGAACGGAAAGGCCCUGCUUGUGUGGGGUGCUCGAGUGGCGAACGGGUGAGUAACACGUGAGUAACCUGCCCUUGACUUUGGGAUAACUUCAGGAAACUGGGGCUAAUACCGGAUAGGAGCUCCUGCUGCAUGGUGGGGGUUGGAAAGUUUCGGCGGUUGGGGAUGGACUCGCGGCUUAUCAGCUUGUUGGUGGGGUAGUGGCUUACCAAGGCUUUGACGGGUAGCCGGCCUGAGAGGGUGAACGGGGACCAUGGGACUGCGGGACGCACCAGAGGGCAACGGUAGACAGCAGUGGAGAAUAUUACCCAGUGGGCGGAAGCCUGAUGCGGAAACGCCGCGUGCGGGAUGACGGCCUUCGGGGUGUAAACCGCUUUCGCCUGUGACGAAGCGUGAGUGACGGUAAUGGAUAAAGAAGCACCGGCUAACUACGUG
rnacentral:rRNA from 1 species